ACGAACGCUGGCGGCGUGCCUAAUACAUGCAAGUAGAACGCUGAAGAGAGGAGCUUGCUCUUCUUGGAUGAGUUGCGAACGGGUGAGUAACGCGUAGGUAACCUGCCUUGUAGCGGGGGAUAACUAUUGGAAACGAUAGCUAAUACCGCAUAACAAUGGAUGACACAUGUCAUUUAUUUGAAAGGGGCAAUUGCUCCACUACAAGAUGGACCUGCGUUGUAUUAGCUAGUAGGUGAGGUAAUGGCUCACCUAGGCGACGAUACAUAGCCGACCUGAGAGGGUGAUCGGCCACACUGGGACUGAGACACGGCCCAGACUCCUACGGGAGGCAGCAGUAGGGAAUCUUCGGCAAUGGGGGCAACCCUGACCGAGCAACGCCGCGUGAGUGAAGAAGGGUUUCGGAUCGUAAAGCUCGGUUGUAAGUCAAGAACGGGUGUGAGAGUGGAAAGUUCACACUGUGACGGUAGCUUACCAGAAAGGGACGGCUAACUACGUG
rnacentral:rRNA from 1 species